UUUUGAGAAAGACAAGGUUUCCCCUUGUCCAAGGCACCAGCGACCAGUAUUCACCUCAGACAAUUCUGGAACAUGACCGAAUAAUUUGGCUAGGGGAUUUAAAUUAUCGGGUAGCCCUUUCUUAUCGUGCGGCGAAAGCUCUUGUUGAGAUGCAUAACUGGAAGGACUUGUUAGAGAAUGACCAACUGCGAAUAGAGCAGAGGCAAGGUCGAGUA